AGAAGGGACUGGAACUGUAUCUUACGGUUUCUGGAAGGAGAAAGCCUAGAUGAGGCACAGAGCGUGGGAUUGAGAGAAGGGAUGGAUUUUAAAAGUGGGUUUCUGUACCUGCACUCGUGCCAGGAAUUGCCGAGGUGCUGCAAGGCAAAGUGAAGUGGAGCAAAGGACCUUCUUGCCUCUGGUUCGGGACUGCACAAGCUCUUCUGGAAACAAGGCACUUCUCAAUCCAUGAUGCCCGUGAUCUCGCGGGCGCUGUCCUGCAGCGGUGGCUGAACGGAGUGAACUUGCACGUUGCAAAAAAGAAGACUGGGGAUCUUGGAGACUGAGUUAGUUAUUCACCCAAGAUGAGAACCAGAAGC